rnacentral:tRNA from 1 species
CGUUUUAGAAACAUUCAGGGGCCAACAGUUUCAGGAUUGUUGAGCUCCAUUGGCGGGAUUUCGCCGUCUUCGUUUCUCUUUCUUCGCGGACGAACACGCGCCAGGGGCUGAGCGCUGUGCGAUGCACCGACUUCAGGUCGGGUGUGCGCCGGCACGUCUCUCGUGUUAGGGGCUUGUAGCUCAGUUGGUUAGAGCGCGCGCUUGAUAAGCGUGAGGUCGGAAGUUCAAGUCUUCCCAGGCCCACCAUUUUGAUCGAGUGCGGAGCAUUCGUCUUCUGGUACGGGGCCAUAGCUCAGCUGGGAGAGCGCGUGCUUUGCAAGCAUGAGGUCGUCGGUUCGAUCCCGUCUGGCUCCACCAGAUGGUUUGAUCACCAAUGGCGUCACCGUCGUCCGCGAAACAUCACUUCGCACUCAUUGGUCCGGAUGGACGGUGACGUGCGUGUUUUCUGACAUCGUAAAGAGGAGAUCGAUCCGAGUUUGGAUCAAGCGAAGCAAUUCGCCUGGGCCAUUCAUUAUCUCCGGGAUCAUUUCGGCGCUCGCUUUCAAUCGUGAGAUUGGAUGCGGGUUGUAAAUGAUCUCUUUUAGCGAAGCUUGACCGCCUCGCUAUCGGGCCGAUCUUACGAAGCAAGCUGGUCUUUCUAGUCAAUGUCCGGCUGCGCAAUCGCGUUCAUCGAGGAUGCGUGCCUGAGACUUCGGUCUUCGGGCAAUUGUGCAGACAACAUUCUGCCGAGUGUGUGGACAUUGAUAAUGAGAGCAAUCAAGUGCCUUAAGGGUGUUCGGUG